rnacentral:rRNA from 1 species
AGCGGACGCUGGCGGCAGGCCUAACACAUGCAAGUCGAACGAACUCUUCGGAGUUAGUGGCGGACGGGUGAGUAACACGUGGGAACGUGCCUUUUGGUUCGGAAUAACUCAGGGAAACUUGUGCUAAUACCGAAUGCGCCCUUCGGGGGAAAGAUUUAUCGCCAUUAGAGCGGCCCGCGUCUGAUUAGCUAGUUGGUGAGGUAACGGCUCACCAAGGCGACGAUCAGUAGCUGGUCUGAGAGGAUGACCAGCCACACUGGGACUGAGACACGGCCCAGACUCCUACGGGAGGCAGCAGUGGGGAAUCUUGCGCAAUGGGCGAAAGCCUGACGCAGCCAUGCCGCGUGAAUGAUGAAGGUCUUAGGAUUGUAAAAUUCUUUCACCGGGGACGAUAAUGACGGUACCCGGAGAAGAAGCCCCGGCUAACUUCGUG